UGUUUGGUGGCUGAGCUGUAAGGCGGUAGACUGUAGAUCUAUUAACGGAGUUAAGUUUCCCCAACAA
rnacentral:tRNA from 1 species